GAGAGGGGCCGUACCCCGCCUGCAGAGCCUCGUCGAGAGCCUUCGGGUUCUUUCGUUUUUCCCUUCAGGGUAAAGUUAGGUUCAGUCUUCCAUCAACACGUUUAUUUUUCCGCCUGACGCGGCGCGCGUGCGCAGUGCCACCCAGCCCCGGCGGUUCCUGAAAUGUAAGCGUGUUGAACCCGGGGAGGGAAGCUGAACGGCCGUCCUGCAGGAGGAAUGUGGCGAGGACGCUUUGGCCCCGCGGGGGAGGACGCGGACUAGCACAUGGUGGCGCAGCCGCUCAAACCCGGACGCCCCUGGGAUGCAGACCCGGGGAACUGGAGACAGCGCCCCGCCUGGUUGCGACCGCCGGCGCUCAGGAGCGGUGCAAUUCAUCUGUAGGGAUGACCCGGGCGCUUCUACAGCCCGGGCCGCCGAAACUUCUUCCUAAGAAGAUCCGGUCAGACCUUUAACAGACACCCCUCCUCCCCCAAAAAGACACGUCUCUGGGCCCUCUCGGGUUUCCCCGACUCUACAUGUGUUUUCUGCAGGUCAGUCUUGCAACAGUUGACUGAGUCAUUUGACUCAGCAAUUUCACCAGUAUCCUACUGGACAUCCAUCUGUACCAGGAGGCUUUCAAGGAGACUCUUGACUAUACACUGUUUAUUACAAUGCAGUGAGAAUUGGCAAAAGACACAAUGCUCUACAAGAGUUUAAGAAAUAACUUAAUUUGUUAUUAAUUUGUGAGCACAGAGAUUCUUGUGCUCACAGAAGAGCACUAAGGAACCAGCAAUGCUAAACACACUGGGUUGUCUCUUUAGUGAUUGUGAUAUAACCUAUUUCCUCCUAGAAGGCUGGGAAUGAACGUGAUUAACAGCCUGGUGACCUUUGUGCUAUCUGUAGGAUGGGAGACCACACCAAUCUCCGUCUCCCCCCGCCCUUAUCAUUAGUGGGUUUUUUGUUUUGUUUUUAUCAAUCUAUAGAAAUAGUGUUUUUGUUUGUUGUUUGUUUUUUAUCAAUCUAUAGAAACAAGUUUUUUGUUUGGUUGGUUUCUGUUUUUUUCGAGACAGGGUUUGUCUGUGUAACAGCCCUGGCUGUUGGGAACCUCUAUAGACCAGGCUGACCUUGAACUUAGAGAUAUGCCUGCCUCAGCCUCCCAAAUUCUGGGAUUAAAGGCCUUUACUACUAUAGAAACUAUGUUUAAGAAAAAUGUCACAUGUACUUUACAAAGAGUUUCAAUUUAGUUGUGUAUUAAGCUUUGUUGUGCACACAGUUUUGAGUUAAUUGUGUACAUGGGAUUGACUUAUCACCAAGAAAGUUUUCACCAAAUUGUGUUUAAAUAUGCCUAAAAUGUCAGUUUUAACCAGUACAGGCUACACACACACACAGAGCAAACUUCAAUUGAGACAGAAGAUGAACUAAAUAAAUGUAUAUAAGAUGCCAUACAUGUCCAAACAGAAGAGCUCUAAUGAAACCUAUUUGCUAUGUGCUGUAUUAGUCAGGGUUCUUACAUAAUGAAUAGAAAUUAUAUAAUGAACACACACACACACACACACACACACACACACACACACACACACACACACACACACACACACGUACGUACACACACACACACACACACACACACACACACACACACACGUACGUACGUACGUAAAUGGGAUUUAUAGAAUGAUUUACAGGCCUUAGUCUGCCUAAUCCAACAAUGGCUGCCUGUGAAAUGAGUUCCUUGAUCAGAAGCAGUACUGCAUGGAAUACCAUGACAGUGAAUAAGGCAUUUGGUAAGUUCAUGGAUGGUGGUUUUGGCAGAAGCAUUAUGUGCAGGACAGACAAAUCUAUAACCAUAAUAACUAUCUACUCCAGUAAGAACAAAGUAUUGUCCUUUUCAAGGAGGAAAUGAUCCAAACUGCCACCAGGUCACUGAUUGAUCAUCCUGGGAAAUGGUACCAUAUCUGGGGCUCAGUGAUGGUCUCUGUUCUCGGCAGAUCUGGUCCUCAUCAGGAACUGUAGCCAGGUCAGCGUUGGUGAUUAAAGGUGUGUCUUCACACACCAAGUUUUGGAUUAGAAGUGGAUCUUCAAAUGUAGUAAAAAUUCCUCACAGGUGUGCCCUCCA